rnacentral:misc_RNA from 1 species
GUAUUGAUUGCGUGUGACCGCAAAAUAAAUAAAUAAAAAGAACAUUCUACACUGUAUCAAGUUUUAUGUGAAAACGCAAGCCCUCCUGCAAAGGGGGGCCCACGCGGUGAUGCACAAAAGGGGUGAGAUGGAUUGUGUGAGAGUGCUCGGGCGUGCACAACCUUUAAAAGGUCAGCGACAACCUGAGCACCUCUGUGGUACGAUAAUGAUCCUUCCGCAGGUUCACCUACGGAAA